ACCGAAUUGCAAUCACUUGGCAUGCGCUCUAAAGCAGUCUUGAAAAGCCUGACCAAUGCAUGAUGUUCAUGAAGCAUUUGCUGUAGAUCUUGGAGAAUUGCUCUCUUCGUAGCUGUGUUGAUCCCUUGACGCCUGUCAAGUUGUUCUUCCAUAUUGCCCAUAUUGCAAGAAUUUAUGCUGUGCAUCUUCUAUAGGUUGCAAUGAUCCAAUGCGAUGGUAAUAGGAUUUUCAUUCAAGCACUUUGUGGUAAAC
rnacentral:lncRNA from 1 species